rnacentral:rRNA from 1 species
AUGGACGCCAAGCCGAACAGCAUUGGGCCCUGCUUCCCCUAUAGGCGCGGCCCCUGUUCAUCUCCAGUAGCGCCCUGCCUCUCCUUCAGUGUGCGUGGCUGUCGCCUUGGAGACCCGUGCCCUGCGUUGCCCAUGGUCGGAACCGCGCCUCCGCCCGCCGCCAUCUUCUUCUCGGAGGUCCGCCGUCGCCGCAAGUCCGCCGCUGUUUCUGCUCUGUCUCAGUUUGAGCGGGAGGACGAGCAUCAGCCCCUGUCCCCUCGCUCGUUGACCGCAGCUCCCCAUCACGCCAUGGGCCACUUCUUGCGCCAAGGCCCAGCGCUGCCAGCUCCUCCGGCCCAGCUCCCACGGCUCCAGCCAGCAGCAUCUCCACCGAUUGGGCCAUGGCCCAUGUUCUGGUAA